rnacentral:lncRNA from 1 species
CCAAAAAAAAGUUACAUGUGUCAUCAUUUUUUUUAAAAAAAAGACAAAGAAUAUGUUUUCUCUAAAUUAGUUGUUUUUUUUAAUUCUCGCCGGUAUCCAAUCUGCCCGAACUACGCGAACCUGAUUCUCGUCUCUCGGGGCAAGAUACGUAGGAAACCCACAUAGGGUCCAGUCUUCCUAGUAAGUCUUAGGUUCUUGGCUUCGCGGGGUCUUAGCCAAAUCUUGCAUUUUAUCUACUUUUAGCCGCAUAGGUUAAUUUUGCAGAAAUAGCUUCAAUCAUGUCUGGCAUGUGUCUUGUAAGGAAUGUUAUUGUCUCACAUAGUGUUGGUUUCAAUUUUCUCAUACAGGUGUGGAUCUUACCGGAGUUUGGGCAUGGCAGACGCCUUAGGACCAUCCAGUCAGGAAUUUGCUUAAGGAGAUUUUUUUUUAGUUUUUAUGCUUUGAGUAUGUUGUUCUUUUUAUGUCGUCUUUUAACUUCUAGUUUUGUACAGUAAUGUCGAGUCUUUUGUUAUGGUAUUUCUUAUUUUGUAUUUGAGAAAAAGUGUAAUAAAUCAAAAACUAAAAAAAAGAAUAGAUUUUGCGUUUUUAUAUUUCUGUUAGAUGUUUUCUUUAGAACUAACUCUAGAAGUUCAAAAAUCUUUUGUGGUUUUUCAUUUAGGAAAUUAAUAGCUAGAACGCAAAAUAAAAAUUGCCUUUAUAUUUCCUUUCGUAUAUUAGGACUAAAAAUUCAAAAAAGAGAGAAUUUUUGUUUUUAGGUACCUCUUUAAAGGUUUUUCUAAGAUAUUAAUUCAAAAAACCCAAAAAAGAUUUUUCUUUUGAGGUUCUUCUUUGCGAAAUAAAUGAAAAAUGAAUAGGAAAAAAAACUCUUUUAUUUUUACUAAAAAUCUAGGACAUCGUACAUAGAAGAAAAAGAAAACAACAUACUUUAUCUUUGGUUUAUUUUCAGAGUUUCUUCCUUAGGUAAUCAAAUCGAAAUCCAAAAAAUAUUUUUUUUAUCUUUUUUAUUUCUUGGUUCGAAAUCUUUCUUGCUCGUAUAAGAUUGAGUUUAGAAUAGGAUAUAGAACAUUAAGUCUAAAAAAUUCAACAAAAAAAAGCAUUUGCUUCUUUUAUUUCUCUUUUCUCAUCAGAGUGGUCAUUAAGGUAAAAAAAAAAA